rnacentral:rRNA from 1 species
GACGAACGCUGGCGGCGUGCCUAAUACAUGCAAGUCGAACGCUUCUUUCCUCCCGAGUGCUUGCACUCAAUUGGAAAGAGGAGUGGCGGACGGGUGAGUAACACGUGGGUAACCUACCCAUCAGAGGGGGAUAACACUUGGAAACAGGUGCUAAUACCGCAUAACAGUUUAUGCCGCAUGGCAUAAGAGUGAAAGGCGCUUUCGGGUGUCGCUGAUGGAUGGACCCGCGGUGCAUUAGCUAGUUGGUGAGGUAACGGCUCACCAAGGCCACGAUGCAUAGCCGACCUGAGAGGGUGAUCGGCCACACUGGGACUGAGACACGGCCCAGACUCCUACGGGAGGCAGCAGUAGGAAUCUUCGGCAAUGGACGAAAGUCUGACCGAGCAACGCCGCGUGAGUGAAGAAGGUUUUCGGAUCGUAAAACUCUGUUGUUAGAGAAGAACAAGGACGUUAGUAACUGAACGUCCCCUGACGGUAUCUAACCAGAAAGCCACGGCUAACUACGUG